UUUUGUUUAACUUUUGCGAAGCAGAACUGGAUAGGCCAGGCAGCGCACUUCUUUUCCGAUUAUGGGGAGGGCUGCUCUAGGCCGGCAGCAGCGAGCUCUCCCCCAGCUCCCGAGGGCUGUGGCAGACACCUGAGCGGAUGGCUACUCCCUGGGGGUGGGAGCGCUGUCUCCCUAGCGGGCCAGCUAGGCAUCAGCCAGACUGGGGGGGGGCAGGAGGGGUCCAACACCCGCACAUCUACGUUUACGGUCCUUCAAUGAACUACGAGGGAGAUUGUAAGUUUAAAAAAAGAAGGUUCAGAUACAAUGAAGAGCCUGGGCUGACACAGA
rnacentral:lncRNA from 1 species